rnacentral:lncRNA from 1 species
UAACUUGCCUUCCAACAAAAUGUCCUCUUUAGCUUCACACGCAACAUCAGAAUGUCAGCUGUCAAAAUGUAAACCCAACUAUCUAGACGAGUUGGUCAAACACCUGUACAAGAUACAACAAAGGUUUUCCACAAUAAGCAGGCCACUCCUCCUUCCAUCUCCAAUGGGCUUUGGGAAAGGUAUAAAAGCGCCACAACCAUCUUCUGCGUCAGGACCAGUUGAAGUGCAAUAUUGAAGCCUGUACUGUACGAUUCAGGAUCCAGACUCUAACCUCAAGGCAUGUUGACCAGGAAUUUUCUCAUCCUCUGCUCUCUGGCAGUUCUGCUAGUACAAGCUGACUUCGAUACUAAUAACAAUCAUGCUGCCCAAGCCAUGUCCACAGAUAAGGACUCAACCUCGGAGGAAGCUCCAACUGAGAGCAUAAAUGCCAUCUCCUCGGAUCAGCCUAACGAUAAACCACAGUAUUACAAUGAGGGAUUGCUGCUCCUAAACCUAAUGGCGUCACUGGACCUGGUAGGUAUCCUUUUGUUAUGUGUAGGAAUAUAACCCGUAGACCUAUGGGUUCCAUUUAGUCUCAAAUGUAUGCCUGGGGAGAAGAAAAUAACAUUACUAUGAAUGUGCUUUCAUUCCUUAUUGUAGGUGUUGCAGCAAACAGUGUUGAGGACCAGGAGGGUAAGAGACCAUAUUCAAACAGGGACGCACCAUGCACACACACACACACACACACACACACACACACACACACACACACACACACACACACACACACACACACACACACACACACACACACACACAUUUUUUUAAUUGUUUAUUUUAAGUCAUUUAGCAGACGCUCUUAUCCAGAGUGACUUACAGUUAGUGCAUUCAUCUUAAGAUAGCUAGGUGGUCACAACCACUUAUCACAGGCAUAGUAAGUACACUUUUCCUCAAUAAAGUAGUUAUUAGCAAAGUCAGAGCUAGUAACGGGGAAAAGUCAAGUGUGAGUCUUAGUGUGUUGGGCAUGAGGAGGGGGUGCGAGGGGGGGUGCUGUGGGAUUAUUUAAAAUACUCUUCGAAGAGGAGUGAGAGGGCCAAAAGACCAGAGGUGGCAGACACACACACACACACACACACACACACACACACACGUUUGUUUUGCUAUCCUUGUGGGGCUCAAACAAUUGAUUCCCAUUCAAAAUCGUAAUCUACCUAACCCCUAACCCUAAACCAAACCCCUAAGCCUAAAAUAGCCCUUUUCCAUGUUUUACUAUCCUUGUGGGGACGAGAAACACACUCACACACACACUUUUUCAACACAAAUCAUAAAUACCUCACAUGAAUCAUUCCAGAUAUUUUAAGUGGACAAAAAUGAUGAAUAUUGAACCAAUCAAAUGUGUCUAAUGUUCCACAAUUAAGUUUAACAUUUCCUUAUCUUUCAGAGGAUGAAAGCUCAGAUGAAGGUCUGAAAAAAAAUUAUGUUCCUCCUCCUCCUCCUCCUACGCCUCCUCCUCCUCCUCCUCCUACUCCUGCUCCACAACAAAACUCAGGAAAGUUAGUUGGGCCAGCAGGUGGGAACCGGAGAAAGGCCCCAGCCCCACAACAAAAGAGGAGAUCACGACCCUCCCGCCGUCAGCAGUGAAAUGCCAAAAAGACACACAGAGGCAAACAUUUACUUUUAGUUAAUUGCAUAGAAGAAGAAACAUAUUGUAUCCAAUUACUGUAUAUGCCAUAACAUGAACGUGUACAGAACCGUACUCGCAUGAUGAAGCUGCUUUGAUGUAUCUUGAGCAGCAGAACAGUCAGCAAGACAUGACAUAUUGUUUACUGUUACGUCUGUGGAAAAACUCAGUGGUAUGUUCAAUACAAACUCAUGGGCAUUUCUCUGUGAAUAAAAUGUAGGAUUAAAUGAACAAUGUAUUGUGAUGACAUAAAACCAGGCCUAAUAUCAUAACUGACCUUGACAUUAAGAGCCGCUGAAACUGCUCUAAAUUCACCAACCUGUUUCAAAAUAGCAAGGACCUCACUCCCAUGAAAAUACCUCAAUUUCUAAAAGAGCGCACACAUCGCACCAAAUGUCGAUCGCCGUUCGUUCGGCGUGGUGUGUUUUAUGGACCACUUGCCGGUGGGCGUCUGACUGCCAACAUUUUCGCGUGGUUUGCACUCGGUUUGCAAAUUACAGCUGGCACUCUGUUCAGAGGUGCUAAGUACUCUCGGCUGGCAAACGCUACCGGUGUGUCAGUGCCUUUAGAGAGACUCUUGCUAUUUUGAUCAUGAGCCAGUUGGUGGAAAUAUGGAGUUACAAACUAGCAAUACAAACUGUUGUUAGCUAAAGUGAAAAGACUAGAUAUUCUUUACAGAAAAAGGCUAAAGAAACCCCAUAAUUUCUCUCAGAGUUGAGGAGGAUACCUUUGACUGAUGCUGCCUACCCAAAGACUGUUAUAC